GACACAUCAAGGCUGAAUUCUGCUGAGAUCCGGAAAUAACCCAGGGGGAACAAAAGACUGGGAACUGGCAGAUGCCAUAAACUACACAAUAGACCAGUGAGAUGGUGUGGUGCAUGAAACACCCAGGAACCUGUAAUCUAUGAAGCUGAGAAUCACAGAGGACAGUAGGACUCACAUUAUCAGACACAGUGAUGCAGUUCCAGUCACUUCAGUGAAUUACUUCACCAGACAGUAGGAAGAACAGGACCAGAAUCUAGCCCGACAUCUUUUGUGUUAUUGCCAAGAAAACUGGCCAAAUGUACCAUUUUCAGAAUGGUGUCAGACUGUUAAAUAUACUAAGUAAACAAAACAGAAGGUUCUGCACCUUGACAGAAAGCACAUGCACACCAAAACGUAAAACCCUUCUCAUAUAUCUACCACGCUGGAUUUUUCUCCAGCUGUUGACUUCUGAUGCUAUUGAUUUCUGCUGGAGCGCAUCAAGAAAAGCUUUUUCAGAAUUACUCAGAUUUAGAAUUCCAGGAAGAUGGGAUUAAAAGUAAAAGGAAUAAAGGAGAAAAAUGACUAAAUAUGUAUACAAUUUUCAGAGUCCUGAAUAUAGCUCCACUAAAACCAGUGAAGCUAUACUGAAUUCUACCAGUUAACAGUUUGACACCUAAAUUACAAUGAAAAGCUCUGCUCUGCAAAUAUCUCAUCUUAACUAAAGAUUUGUAAAUGUCAAAUGGAUAUAUUGAGGUCAUAUUUUGACAAAUAAACUUACCCAUAGCAUAUUCCAAUCUAGAUGUCUAAGUUUUGUCAACAUUUAGAGAUUCGAUCAUAUUUAGGUAAUUUCACUCUUACAGACAUAAAUCAUCUGAUACCUGCUCAGAAUUAGAUAAAAACAUUGAUGCCAAACUUUUCUAAAUACACACCUCAUUUUCACUUAUUAGAUGAGAGUCUUCAUUAACUGUUAAUAGUUUAAUGUCUAUGAGGCAUAAUUUGCGGGGACUUUUUUCCCCAAAAUUCAGCACUGUGCAGAGUUAAACACUGUGCAAAAACAAACA